rnacentral:rRNA from 1 species
UACAGAGGUGGCAAGCGUUGUUCGGAAUUACUGGGCGUAAAGGGCGCGUAGGCGGCCCGUCAAGUCCCGUGUGAAAGCCCCCGGCUCAACCGGGGAACGGCGCGGGAAACUAGCAGGUUUGAGUUCGGGAGAGGGAAGCGGAAUUCCGGGUGUAGCGGUGAAAUGCGCAGAUAUCCGGAGGAACACCGGUGGCGAAGGCGGCUUCCUGGACCGACACUGACGCUGAGGCGCGAAAGCUAGGGGAGCAAACGGG